UACGAGGGGGGCAAGCGUUGUUCGGAAUUAUUGGGCGUAAAGGGUGUGUAGGCGGUUUGGUAAGUCGUGUGUGAAAUCUUCGGGCUCAACCCGAAGUCUGCACACGAAAACUGCCGGGCUUGAGUAUGGGAGAGGUGAGUGGAAUUCCUGGUGUAGGCGGUGGAAUGCGCAGGAUAUCAGGAGGAACACCAAUAGCGAAGGCAGCUCGCUGGGACGUUACUGACACUGAGGCGCGAAAGCGUGGGGAGCGAACAGG
rnacentral:rRNA from 1 species